CUACGAACAAAGAGCAGCCAUGGAAGCAAAAAAUAAAAUAAAGAAAAUAACACGGGUGCCGGGAAGCGAAACUCUCCGAGAAGGGGACGUUUGUUUGCUAUAAUUUUUGGAGACCGGGGACCGCUGCGGCGGGCAUAACUUUUUCAAGAAAGACACUCCUCUGACAAGGCAGCCUGUACAAUGUCAGUCAGGCCAGGCCUAACGAACACCGACCUCGGCGGCACCACUCGCGGCUCCUGCGCGUCCCUGGACUGCUCGUGUGGGGCUUUUGUGACCCGUGAGGACGCAUUUGGAUAUGCGGACUGUCCGGCCGGUUGGUGCUUGAUUUGUGGCCAUCCACCAGCACAGCACGGGACUUUAGGAAGACGUUCCGACAGUUGAGAGAGGAUGCCCAGGACCGAAAGCUUUUCUGGGGUCCAAAACAAAGGGUAUUCUCUGUCCCGGAAGCAGUCCCCAGGUGGUCAACUUACCAAGCACCUGCUCCGACCUCAAGGCGUCUGUCCUUC